AUUUAAGUUAAGAGUUGGUUUGUUGUGAGGCUGGAAAGAUUUGUAGGUUGGUGGUCCACUUGUUAGCCAUUUGAGGUGUAUUUUAAGAUGUACAUAUUGAUGGCGAUCAAAUGGACGGUUGAAAAGAAGAUAUUGUUAAACGUAUAGCAAAAUCCGAUGGUUUGUGCCAUUGGGUAAGUGUAAUCUUUGGGCUAUGGCCCACUCUAUAUUAAUGAAAUUUUAUUCUUGUGUGUCCUUUCUUUUUUACUCUCGUUUUCUUUAUCAAUGUACCUAUUUUUCUUAGAAUUGGUUCUAAUGAGAAUGCCUGAAAGCCAGCUAAGUGGGUGUUGCCCUGACCAUAGGGCCCACCUUUAUGAUAUGUUGUAUAUCCACUUUGUCCAUUCAUUUUCCCAGCCUAUCUUAGGAUGUAGUUCUAAACAUUAAGUAUAUUCAAAUCUCAGAUGGACCACACAACAAGAAAUAGUGAUGAUUGAACGCAAAGCCCGUAAUGUUUACUUGCCAUCCAAAUUGUUGAUAAGGUUAACGAACUGGAUGAAGUGAAGAUACAAAGAUUAGUUUGAUCAAAGAGGCCAGGAAGAUGCUUAUUGAGUUCUACUUCACAGAUGAACACAGAAGGCCCAGUUCUUGAUAUGGCAGAUCUGCCAGUGGAAAGCAACGAUGUUGAAGAAAUGUUUGAUGAGAUAUAAGGAAGGCUACUGAGAUUAGUCUUGUGUUGCUAUUUAAUUUUCUAUUACAAAUUAUUUCAUUCUAUAAUAUUUGUAGUUUAAUCAUUUUGAAUAAUUCAUUCUAUAAUCAUUUGAUUUUAACCAUUUUGUUCUCUAAGAGGAACAAUAACUUGGAGGAUGAACUAUUUGAUUGCUCAAAUUUCACUCAUGACAUUUAGCUACUUGUUUCUUUUUGCCAAUUGUCUUUAUUUGAUGGAAGUGGUGUUCAUGUAUGUAGGGUAGUUGUGCUGCACCAAAAAUCAGGCCUUUCAAACUCUCAAGUGGGCUCCACCUGUUAGAUGGGCUACAAGUUGUCACUGGUCCAGGUUCAGUAUACACUCACGGCGCAUGCGAUGAGUGGUCUGGUAAGAGUUUACACAAAGCCACAGGGGCAACAACCUGAUUUUUCAGAUCCUGUAGUACUUUCCACGGUAGGUUGCACAUUCUUCUUGAAGAAAUAUACAAUGUGAACAUUUGCUUGGUCUGACAAACUGUAUGUAUGGGGAGCACUUUUGGUGAUCCAGAUGAUUUUGUGGUGGGCCCAUGGUGGAUGGAAGAUCUAUAGGUAUAUUGGAUCAGUUUUACAGACAUUGCUACUCCUCAUCAAACGACUUCCGCCAAAGGUUGGAUAUGCUAUGCUGAAAAAAACACUUGGCUCAUAUACUACCUUUAUUUCUUCUGUGAAGAUUCCACAACAAGCAAUUGGGGCAACCAUCAAGCAUCACAUUUGCCAAACAAAUGGGUCUAAUGCACAUGGUUGAAGCUUUCCAAUCCAUCUUGUAUAGGCACCUGGUUGAAGGUUUUCUCAUGAUGGGCUCCGAAUCUUUAUAUUUUUGUGGGAAAUAUUACAAGAAGGGACUUGCAUUAUCACAGAAGAAUGCCUAUUGAAUCCAAAUCGAAACCCAACAAUGAGUGAGGAACAAAUAGAGGAUGAACUGAAGAUGUAUCUUGGGGUCAAAAAGGAAUGUUUUCUCCAAUGAUGGUUCCAGGAUGCCAAAUACUACUGCACUCAGUGCAGUCCAGGCAUGUUCUUUUCAUCCUCUUUAUUCUUCACUUAAAUAAGGCCAUGUAUUCUAAUCGUGGUUUGAUUGCUUUUGUGGCAUCUUAUGCAUGUUAAAUGUACCAAAUGAAGACCAUUCAUCCGUGAUGAUGCCUCAAUGUAACUAACCAUGUAGACUAGCAUGACCCUAAUAAGAAGCUUGGGCUUUUUAAACAAUAAAAAUAAAACUAUUCUUUUCUUUUUCUUCUUUUUUCAUUUCCUGACCAUAGCAGCUUCUAAUGAAUCCAUGUAUAGAAACUACAAUACUCAGAUGCUUGUGAACUUGCACAUGCAAUGGAUGCACAGGU